CCUACGGGGGGCAGCAGUGAGGAAUAUUGGUCAAUGGACGAGAGUCUGAACCAGCCAAGUAGCGUGAAGGAUGACUGCCCUAUGGGUUGUAAACUUCUUUUAUAUGGGAAUAAAAUGUUCCACGUGUGGGAUUUUGUAUGUACCAUAUGAAUAAGGAUCGGCUAACUCCGUGCCAGCAGCCGCGGUAAUACGGAGGAUCCGAGCGUUAUCCGGAUUUAUUGGGUUUAAAGGGAGCGUGGGUGGAUUGUUAAGUCAGUUGUGAAAGUUUGCGGCUCAACCGUAAAAUUGCAGUUGAAACUGGCAGUCUUGAGUACAGUAGAGGUGGGCGGAAUUCGUGGUGUAGCGGUGAAAUGCUUAGAUAUCACGAAGAACUCCGAUUGCGAAGGCAGUUCACUGGACUGCAACUGACACUGAGGCUCGAAAGUGUGGGUAUCAAACAGGAUUAGAUACCCCAGUAGUC
rnacentral:rRNA from 1 species